rnacentral:lncRNA from 1 species
GGGCAGGGUGGCAAGGAGAGAAGGCUCUGGAUGGUAGAUUGAGGCCUCUCUCGUGGAGAAACUGCCUGUCACCAGGUGGGUAGACCAUCUCCAUGGGGAAUUCCCAGAAGCUGGGACAUGGCUGCAGCCUCUGAGCCCUCUCUUGUUGUUUGUGGGGGCCCAGCUUCAGGAUCCUGGCACCUGGGGAUCUCAGGAGGUGCUGUACAGCUUGAUUAGACCUACUGAGUGCCAGGCACCCAGCAAAGCAGUAGCUGGGGAGCCAGAAGAGGGUUCCAGUGUUUUAAGACAGAAAAUCUAGAAAGAAGCUAUUUAAUUUUAGCAUUACAAGUAAAUACAGUGUCA